rnacentral:rRNA from 1 species
UGGGGAAUAUUGGACAAUGGGCGCAAGCCUGAUCCAGCCAUGCCGCGUGAGUGAUGAAGGCCCCAGGGUUGUAAAGCUCUUUCACCGGUGAAGAUAAUGACGGUAAUCGGAGAAGAAGCCCCGGCUAACUUCGUGCCAGCAGCCGCGGUAAUACGAAGGGGGCUAGCGUUGUUCGGAUUUACUGGGCGUAAAGCGCACGUAGGCGGACUUUUAAGUGAGGGGUGAAAUCCCGGGGCUCAACCCCGGAACUGCCUUAGAUACGGGUAGUUUUGAGUUCGAGAGGGGUGAGUGGAAUUCCGGGUGUAGAGGUGAAAUUCGUAGAUAUUCGGGGGAACACCAGUGGCGAAGGCGGCUCACUGGCUCGAUACUGACGCUGAGGUGCAAAAGCGUGGGGAGCAAACAGG